CUCUAUCCCUUUACAGUGAGGAGGACAAAUGAAUGCAUCAGGGGACUAGUCCAGUUAUUGUGAGAGGAACGAUACAAAAAGGAGAGUAAUAUGGGUGUUCCCCUUCUCAACGGUUUCAGAGAGCUCUCAGAUAUGGUAGAUGUCCUAUUGUUUUGGGUCCCUAAGAGAGACAAGAGACAGCAGCGGAGGAACUGAACUGGCCCACAGCUUGGGUAAGAAAGGAGGAGAGGACACAGUCACAUCCACCUCAGAGAGACGGAAAGACACACACUUUAUAUCCGAGAGAAGCCUGCACUCUCAGCCCCAAUGAAAGCCUCCUAGACACUGAGAAUAUAGAAACAUAUGUGGUUUCAUGUCACGGUAAUAGUAGACCCUGCGCUAAUGUUUGGAGUGGAAGUGGGUACGGAAACAGAAAGGACCCUAAGAAAUGGAACAAAUACUCUACCACCAUUAAGAAACAAGAAGGAAUUUGGGCCGGAUCAACAACCUCUCCCUCAAUGUCAGUAAGACCAAAGAGCUGAUCCUGGACUACGCACAGACGGGGCUCUGCCUUUUCACUGUACUCUUUUUCUUGCAUGUUACCGCUGCUAAGACUGGUGUGUCUUUGUGCAGUGCUGGGAUACUGCUCUGUAGCUGCUGAUCUGAGUGACUAGGAAUCGGUGGGAAGUCAAUGCCACACCCACGUCGAGUCCCUCAAGGCUGAAGUCAGUGACUGUGUACAUGCGUGUCAGAUUGGCUACCAUGGAGAUGGACUACUGAGUGAGGACAUUGACGAGUGUGUUACUGGCCUCCACGGCUGCCACUCAAAGGCACAUUACACAACACAGCAGCUGUGCGUGUCUGGAUGGCUGCCUCGGCGACAGAGUCCAAUGAAAGGACAUCGACAACUGCCAGACUACUAACCUCUGUACGAAUAGAGGAGGGCAAGACUGCAAGUACAUAAGAGGCUUCAAUGGCAAUGGUUUUCAGUGCACGGACAUUGACGAAAUGCACAAAACGUGGCAUCUGCCAUGGGAAUGCCGCCUGUCACAUCGACGUGGCUGUAGUGGAGCGGGUUGAGAGCUUCAAGUUCCUCGGUGUCCACAUCACUAAGGACCUAUCAUGGUCCAAACACACCAACACAGUCGUGGAGAGGGCACGACAACACCUCUUUCCCCCU